UCUCCUGAGAAAGGUUGUUUUUCAACAGAUUCUAUGUAUUCGGGGUCUAUCUCAAAACUAGAUGUCAUGAUAGGCUUUGAAGAUUUUGGUGGUUCGAGAUGUGUGCCCGUAGGUCUAUGAAACUGAUAGAUAGACAUGUUUGCAUUCAUGAUAGACCAGAGAUCAAGGAUUAGAUAAGAAUAAAGAAUAGCAGAGAUAAGGCAAAGCAUAAAAGGAAAAAUAUAUUUUUUUUUAUUUUUUUAGAAAAUGAUUAAGCUAGUUCGUAGUCAACUCAGCAACCGUCUCCCUGGCAACGGCGCCAAAAAAGCUUGUUGACACUUGCUAACAACACUGAAUACUAGGUUGUCAUCCCCAGCAUGGCACUAGAGUGUACUAUGUUAUUUAUAUGCACACAAAUAAAUCCACAAGCGCACGGAUACCAUUGUAGCUUUUACCCGGUUAAAGGUUUUAUCGUAUCCAUAGGGAAACGGGAGAACCAACUACGCUCUAACUUAACCAAGAUAGAUAGAUAGGUGUAAAUAGGAAAGAUGGUAGAAUUGAAUAAGAACAAUAAUAAAGGUAAAAUGAUAAUGGGGGAAUAUAAAGUAGAGCAAUCUAAUAUAUGGGCGAUAAAAGGAGAAUAGAGAGGAUAACUAGGGUUUCUCUACUUCAAAGGGGUAUGUCUGUCUGUGGCGUACCAUAAGUAUAAAACAACAUAGAGGAUGCUUAUACCUAAGGUCGAGGACUCCUACCAGUCCUGCUAACGGGAGGUGGACUACAGAGGACCAUCGUAGCUGUCACCUACGUGGCCUACCACGCGAUCCAGCUAACAGGGGAUAUCCACAAGAAAUCUAGGUCUAAGCACCACGCUUACACCUAUACUACAACUAUCACCUAUAGCGUCCUAUAGAUUAAAGUACUCAAAAGAGUUGUGAACCAGAACAUACAUGGAUAGUAAUUGCAUAAUGAGAUAAAAAGU
rnacentral:lncRNA from 1 species